AAGAUCAUAUACAAAUAAAUACAAUACAAUGUGGUAACAGAUCUCAGUGUCCAUAACUUUAAAAAUGGUAUAAAUUAUAUUGUUUAAAAAUUGCAAGAAGAAAACUGUUGCAAACAUUUGCAGUCACAUGACCUGAAAGGACCUUUGAAGAUACAAUUUUGGAAUCUUAGUCUCCAUUUUGAAUAUAUACUUUUGCUGUUAUAACCAGUAGAAGAGAAUUUCCAGCAACUUAUAAAUUAUUAUUUUUCCAGGUGACUGAGCAUUGAAAGAACUUUACUCAUAAAUGGGUUGUCAACACUAGCAUGGAGUGUUUUAGGCAGCAGUAAGUUCACCAUUCUUGGGUAUUUAAACAGAAGAUGGAUGAACAUCUGAAAGGGAUCCCGUAAUGAGGUUUUGGCAUUGCUCAACAGAUUAACUUUUAAAACUCUUCCAUCUUUGAUCUUUUUUACAUUCCAACUUCAACGUAAAACUUUCUUGAAGCCAAGAAGUAUUAAUUUUAAAAUGGAAAAAACACCAUAUUUAUUUGUGUUACUUAUUUAUAUCACAUGAAUAUACUUUCAGAUAUGUGGAUAUUCAAUACUGUCUACAGUUUGUAACAU
rnacentral:lncRNA from 1 species